ensembl:lncRNA
GAGCAAUUCCUGCAGAGUGAAGUGGCUGAAAACCAGACUGCUGAGUGUCAGAGAGGGAGGAGAGCAUCUGAGCAACCCUAACACCCAGCAUCAAUUGACUUUUGGUGAUGGUGGUGUCAAACGGAUCAGAGGUGACCAAGCUUCCUUCUUCUGAGGGCAGACUGCCAGUACCAAAGUGGUGUUGCUAUGGAGAAUUCCAAGUACAGUGUUGGACAAUCACGGCCUUUUAACCUCUGCCAUGGACAGUAACUACAGCCAGCAUGUCGUCCAGUGCUUUAACCAAGAAACGGGCAUAGCAUGGAAAGCAGUGCUCCAUUGGAAGGUGAAAAGCCAUCACCUUCAAGAGGAGGAAGGCAAUGACAAGAUCAACCACAGUCCAGGAUGGUUGUGUUAAAGCCAUGUUGUCCCUGCUCCAAUGACCUGGAGUCUAUGGGCUGGAGGCAACGCUUUAAGAGUUUUAACAAAUGUGG